UGGGGAAUAUUGGGCAAUGGGCGCAAGCCUGACCCAGCAACGCCGCGUGAAGGAAGAAGGCUUUCGGGUUGUAAACUUCUUUUGUCAGGGACGAGGAGAAGACGGUACCUGACGAAUAAGCCACGGCUAACUACGUGCCAGCAGCCGCGGUAAUACGUAGGUGGCAAGCGUUGUCCGGAUUUACUGGGUGUAAAGGGCGUGUAGCCGGGUCGGCAAGUCAGAUGUGAAAUCCACGGGCUUAACUCGUGAACUGCAUUUGAAACUGUUGAUCUUGAGUAUCGGAGAGGCAAUCGGAAUUCCUAGUGUAGCGGUGAAAUGCGUAGAUAUUAGGAGGAACACCAGUGGCGAAGGCGGAUUGCUGGACGACAACUGACGGUGGAGGCGACGAAAGCGGUGGGGA
rnacentral:rRNA from 1 species